rnacentral:lncRNA from 1 species
AACUAGGAAGAUUAGAGGUAACCACAGCAUCACUUGAGGAACUCAGGAUUUUCCAGCCUUGAGCAUAUUAGGAACUGCAGGUGUAUUUCCAUGCUUCCUUUCAAGGGUUAACCUUAUUUUAGUCCACAUCUUCAUGCUAGUACAAAACACCAAGAAUUGCCUGUCAUGUGUGGCAAAAGGCCAAACCUACCUGACCCUGCUGACUUAGCAAGUACUAAAAUAACUAAGAAUAGAAAACUUGUAAGAUUUUCUUCAAGUCCAAGAUGAUCAAAAAUGCAUUUGCACUUCCAUACUGUCUGGCUGCACACAGAAUAAUAAAACAACUGGAUGGUUAACAAAUGAGCAUGUUUGGGCAUGAAAUCAACUAGACAAUGAGAUGAAUUCUUCAGUGACUUUAAGACGAUGUAUACUCAUUCUCUUUUUAAUUGUCACUUAGCAAUACAGUUGUGUCCCAUUUCCAUUUGGUCCUCUUCUUGGUAGAUUUUUGUUAUAGUGUUUUUUUUUUCCCUCAUCUCUCCUCUGAUAAUGUCCUAUAUAGUAAGAGAAGUUAGCAGAUUAUUGAAGGUGUUUGGGGGAUCAUAUCAAUGUGAGAUAUCCACAUACAUCAUUUAAUACUGUCAACAAGUUGACCACUCAGACCGAUUUUAGUAUUCAUUCUGCAGUCUUUUAAUAUUGCUUGUUUUUAGGCUCCCCUAUUUAGAGUGGUCAGUGACAAAAGUCAUUCGGGAAAUAACACACUAUUUGUGGGUAGUUUUAUUUUGGUGAAUGAUUUUGGUGGCUAAUUUAUUUCCUUUUUAUUUAAAUGUCUCAGGAAUUGAAAAUGGCUUUUUUUGCAUAAAAUCAAAUGGAAAAUAAUCUCAAUUCUUCAGAUCAAAGAGCUGAAGCAAAGGAAAGUUUUUUGAUACAUAUGCAUAUUCUUAUACGUAGCACAUGUGAUAGAAAAUGAAAAGUUAUAGCUUCAUUUUCUUGUAUCUCUAGGAAGCUAUAAAAGUGCAUAUGUGACUCAGGUCAUCUCAUAAAGAAAAAAUAAUAUGCAACAUAUAAAAUACAGAGAUGUUUAAUGGGAUUAUAAAAUCUGGACUACCUACUUAUUUUCUAGUAGCAAAUUUAUUCAUUAUUGUCACUAUUAAUAAUAGCAAUAUCAUUAUGAAUCUGUGCAUAUAUUAAGAGACCCACUAUUUGCAUUAUCUGCAAAAGAUAAUUUUCCCUUUGGGAUUUAAUUGUGGCUUUUGAAGGAGAGAAGUGAAAUCAUUUUGAAAUGCUGACAGAUUCAUACCUUUCUGCUCCUGGGUCUAACACUCAUUAAUAUUUAUGUGAGGAUUUUACUUUCUGUGAGAGAGUAGUGGGUUAAAUAGAAGACGGGGUGAUGUGAGAGAGUAGUGGGUUACAUAGAAAAGUGGUAUGCAGUGCAGUACUCUAACAUGGGGAUCAGUGUCCAGUUUGGGAAGAGGAAAGAGUUACCCUUUGUGGAAGAAAAUACUCCAUGUUUUGUUGUUGUUUUUGUUUGUUCGUUUGUUUGUUUUGCCCAUAAGUGCAAUGGAGGGCGAAUGGAGGUCUGUCUCUUCAUGUAACUCAGGAGGUCCCUGGUAAAUUAAUUGAAGAGAGAUCUGGAGACUUAGGAUAACUGUAAGAAUAGCAGGUUUAUUUUUGCUCCAUUAUUUGUGACUGUGUUUAUUUAUUGGCACCAAAUGCAUCUUGCCUUAGUCUUGGCCUAGUGUGGCAUUCUCUUGUGCUUGGUUUCUUUGAAAUCAGCACAAGCUGUUGAGGCUACAGUAAUAGUUUAAAGUGAGGUGCUUUAAACUUUUUGGUCUCUUUUGAUGGUGCACACCUUGACACAUUGUAAGAGUUUCAUACUACUAAGUAGUGAUUUUUUGUUAGCCGUGGCAAACUAGUUAUUAACAGAAGUGGAUGUAUCAAGGAGGGAUGCACAGACCUUAAUUUCUACAGAGAAUACAAUCUGGAUCAAAUUUCAGAUCAUGUGUAUGUGUUUGUGUGUGUGUGUGCGCACUCAUGUGUGUUUAAUAAUUAGAGAAUUUUCCAUUGUCGUUUAAGAGAUCUCGUGACUAAUUGGAUGAAGAAUCACCAGGACUGGGACAAGUGAUGAUAAGAAAGAGAGUUCAAUAUAAAGCUGUCUCUCAUAUGAGUCAUAAACUGAAGUCCUGACAUAGAAUCUUGGAUACUUUUCUGAGUCAGUUCUGAACCAUUGCCCCGUUCCAGUAAUAGCAUGGGGAUAAAAUAAAACAUCCUCCAAGGAGGCAUUUAGUGGUGAGCUAAGGCUGAGAGCCUUCAAGGACAUUUAUCUCCAUAGUAGCAACGUUUGACUCUUUGUGGUUUCCACAAAUCUCUGUAAAAGGCAUUGAUCGCCACUGUCAGUAUGAUUAGAGGAAGCACUGAUGCAUAGCAUGUUUAUGAUUAAAAAAACAAGAAACAAUUCAUGCACUUAACGCAUGUCAUGAGGAGGAUUUCACUCUCCUGGGAAGAGAUAAAUUUUUUUUAAAGUACUUUCUAUUUUUGAUGUUUUUCUCACAUAGCUUUUUUUGUUAUUUAAGGUGUAUCCCAGUCUGAGGACCAAGCAAGUGGCACUUACUCCGUGACCUUAACCAAUUCACUUGACUUCUCUCAUCCUCAUCAUCCAUGUCUUUAAAAUGAGAUUGUUGUUUCUUGAAUAUGUUCUCCAUCUCCAAAAUUUGUGGAAUUCUAUGAUAUAGCCAUUGUUCUACAUCGCUCUUCUGAUAUGCAAUUCAGGAUUUACCCUGAAAAAAUCAGGUGUUAGUGGAAUGAUUAUUAAACAUUUAGCCUACCUCCAGCAUUUGUUGAACACCUAUUAUGUAUUUGAAUUCAUUAGUUACCCUUGAAAGAAAUGUAGAAAACUAAAUUGUAUGAUGCAUCGUCUUUGACCUCCGAGAUAUUAAAUAAGUAUGUAAUGUGGGGAAGAAAAUGUUAAAUCCCAUAAGUAAGUUGCAAAGACUAUUAUCAACAUCCCACUAUUGACAUUUCAGACAAAUGGAUGAUUCUUUGUUGUGGAAUACUUUCUGUGCAUUUUACUAUACUUGGUGCUAUCAAUAGCCCAAUUAGAUGCCAAUAGCAUCCCUCUAUUUGUGAUAACCAAAAAUGUCUCUAAAGAUUCCAAAAUGUUCCCUGAGAAUCAAAAUUGCCCUGGUUUGGUAACCAUUGCACUAGAGGAGAACCAUAAUAUCUGUGGAACUUUCAGAGAAGGCUCAUUAGAGAGGAUUCAUUUGACCUGGGUCUCAAAUUAUGAGGGAUUAGAAGAUUGCAAAUACAGAUCAUAGUCAUAUUGAUUCUAUGCCAUUGGGAGCAUGCAAAAUUUUGAGGUGAUAAUGAGAUAGGAGUUACUAUAAAUAAGGAUAAUGAUUGAGCAUAGUCUUUGGAGUAGGACAAAAUUAGAUUCUAGUCCUGGACCCAAAACUUUACUGGUCAUGUGACCAUGGUCAGGCAAUCUCAUAGUUUUUGCCUGUGAUGAUGAUAAUCUGUAAAGUCCUUAGCACUGUGUCUGCCACAGAAGACAUGCAACCACAGGGUGACUCAUACAUCAGACACAGGGUCUUGACACCCUAAAGUUGGCCCAUGAGUUCUGGAUUGUGUUGCAAGUAUCUUGUUACUCAUAGUGAAAUACUAACAUGUGAGUGAUUUAAUUUUAUAUUCAUUAGAUUCCAUAAUGUUUCUAAUAAGGACACUCUAUCUCACCAAUAUGCUUUCUUGAGUAUUAGAGAAAAUGUGGAGUUAAAGCCAACAAUUGCAAAUGGAACUUAACCUUGCAUGUGUUCAUGGAAGUGGAUCACAAACAAAUGUCGAUCUUAUUGUCAUCAGGAUUGACAACUACUGCUUAAGCAAUUUCUCUGGCUGGGAUUAACAGGCACUACCCUGGCUGAAGAAGUAUAAGAGUUUUCUGUUCCAAAAUGAGCUUGAGAAAUGGAAGUCAGCCCUCAGUUACAUGGUCUUCAUAAUGUUGGACAGGGACACUUGGGACAUUUAAGUAUCUGGUUCUGGGCCUUUGCUUGAGCACCAAUCAGAGGAAAGGAGUAGGACAUGGAAUUAGAAUCCUGGAUAUGGCAUAUAAAUAUUAAUUGAUUGUAGAGAUAUAGCUUUUAAUAUUUUUCAAUAAACUGUAGUUACCUAUUCAAAUUAUUUGGUUAACACUGCCUUGAUUCAGGGAAUUGUAGAGAUUAAAAUCCAGUUUCCAGUUUUGAAACUUCUAUACCUACAAGUGUAUUCAAGUCUAGAAAUAAAUGGUCAUGCUAGAGCUAAAUUCAGCCAAAUUCAUAUAAUGCUUAAAACUAAAAGUAUUCAAUUCCCCAAGGACAGUAUCUUUUCAAACACUGAAUAUGUAAUUCCAGUGAGGAAGGAUUUUGCUACAUGACCUGUUGAGCUUGAACCUCUUUUCAAGGCUUACUACUUUAUGGCACUGCUGCUUCAAGUAGGGUAUUACACUGGUGCUAAACCCUGCAACACACAUAUGUGACUAUUGCUAAUAGGUGGCAGCUCCAGCCAUGGCUACUUAACCAUCCCUGGAGAGGUUUGCCUGAGGACAAAGGUGAUACAUUUCACAACAGAAGAUUAAUUGCAUAAGUUCUGUGUGACAUGACAUCCCAUGGGACUUAAGAGUAUGUUUAUGGUGUUAUAAAGCAUACUGUAAAUAUCAGAUUCGGCUUUGGCUGUGAUUCUGCCAAACAUGGGGCUAAUGUCAUUUGUCAUAUUCAGACAUAGCCUUUAAAAGAAAAUUCUUGUUCAGGCUGCUACCAGGGUGUGAUAUGUUUGAUAGCUCUGAGGAAAUUUUUGUUUUUAUAAUAGGAUGAUAUAGAAACAGAGAGACAGAGGGAAGGGAGGUGGGGAAGUGGGCCAUGGGAUGGAGCAAAAACAUCACUCAAGGGAAUGGGAAAAUUGUCUUGCUGUUUGAUUAAUGAAAGUUACUAGAGAGAUGUUCUUAUGUCUUCCAAGACUCUCAUCUGUUGACCUAUGCUUAAUGGAAAAUCUGUGAGAGAAGAGAACCCUACUGAGAGAAAACAACCUCAGAACCUACCAGGAAGGGGUUAGGUAUCUCUGGUGUUUAACUGCUAUACUUUGGGUUUUUCACUGGGAGGAAAAAAGUGAAUUGUUGGGACUGAGGGCAUGUAGUGAGAAAAAUAACUAAACCAUUUCACUGUUGUCCAAUUAUUAGCAUACGAGACGGUUUCACAACUUCCUACCAUUUGGCUUUAGAUUGGAUCUAAGAGUAAGCAUUUGAAUUAAAUCUGUUAUCUUUGGAGUUCCUGUGGUGGUGCAGUGGUUAACUAAUCCGACUAGGAACCAUGAGGUUGUGGGUUCCGUCCCUGGCCUUGCUCAGUGGGUUAAGGAUCCCUAGUUGCCGUGAGCUGUGGUGUAGGUUGCAGACCUGGCUCAGAUCCCGUGUUGCUGUGGCUCUGGUGUAGGCCAAUGGCUACAGCUCCAGUUAAACCCCUGGCCUGGGAACCUCCCUAUGCCGUGGGAGCGGCCCUAGAAAAG